rnacentral:rRNA from 1 species
GAACCUGCGGAAGGAUCAUUACCGAGUUUUCGGGCUUCGGCUCGACUCUCCCACCCUUUGUGAACGUACCUCUGUUGCUUUGGCGGCUCCGGCCGCCAAAGGACCUCCAAACUCCAGUCAGUAAACGCAGACGUCUGAUAAACAAGUUAAUAAACUAAAACUUUCAACAACGGAUCUCUUGGUUCUGGCAUCGAUGAAGAACGCAGCGAAAUGCGAUAAGUAAUGUGAAUUGCAGAAUUCAGUGAAUCAUCGAAUCUUUGAACGCACAUUGCGCCCCUUGGUAUUCCGGGGGGCAUGCCUGUUCGAGCGUCAUUACAACCCUCAAGCUCUGCUUGGAAUUGGGCACCGUCCUCACUGCGGACGCGCCUCAAAGACCUCGGCGGUGGCUGUUCAGCCCUCAAGCGUAGUAGAAUACACCUCGCUUUGGAGUGGUUGGCGUCGCCCGCCGGACGAACCUUCUGAACUUUUCUCAAGGUUGACCUCGGAUCAGGUAGGGAUACCCGCUGAACUUAAGCAUAUCAA